rnacentral:lncRNA from 1 species
AUGUAGAUUCAGCAAGUGCUCUAUCUUCACGAAGUGGAAAAUCAUAGAUUCCUAUGUGAAUAUGCGUACAAACAAGAUUUUAAAUGCCCGUCGGUACGGGUCGUAUCCACCGUGCCGCACCGUGCCAACAAGAUACCGGCACGAUACAGACCCCAUGUCGAUGACACAGCUCAAAACCCUCUAUUCUUUAAAUUAGUAAGUAAUUUUCUCAAUAAAGUUCAAAAGAUGUGAUAAAAAGACAUAAUAAAUAGUUAGAAUAUUUUGUUGCUAAAGAAAAUAAAUAUUUCAUACUAUUAUGUGUCGGCACACAAGAAUUUUUUUUAACCGGCACGCAUCGGCACGACUCAGCACGCAUCGUGCAGUACCGUAACGGCAAGUUUCCGGCACGAUCUCGUACCGCAGCACUUAAAUCCUUGCGUACAAACAUGUUCAACGUU